rnacentral:rRNA from 14 species
GAAGCGGCGUCGCUAGGCGUUGUGGAGUCGUCCUUGAAAUACCACCCUUAAAUUGCUUGAUGUCUAAUCCCGUCUGACGGGAGACAAUGUUUGGUGGGUAGUUUGACUGGGGUGGUCGCCUCCAAAAGAGUAACGGAGGCUUUCAAAGGUACCCUCAGCACGCUUGGUAACCGUGCGCAGAGUGCAAUGGCACAAGGACGCUUGACUGUGAGACUGACAAGUCGAGCAGGUACGAAAGUAGAGCAUAGUGAUCCGGUGGUUCCGUAUGGAAGGGCCAUCGCUCAAAGGAUAAAAGGUACUCCGGGGAUAACAGGCUGAUACCGCCCAAGAGUUCACAUCGACGGCGGUGUUUGGCACCUCGAUGUCGGCUCGUCACAUCCUGGGGCUGAAGCCGGUCCCAAGGGUAUGGCUGUUCGCCAUUUAAAGUGGUACGCGAGCUGGGUUUAGAACGUCGUGAGACAGUUCGGUCCCUAUCUGCCGUGGACGUUGGAGAUUUGAGGAAAGCUGCUCCUAGUACGAGAGGACCGGAGUGGACGAACCUCUGGUGUUCGGGUUGUGACGCCAGUCGCAUUGCCCGGUAGCUAUGUUCGGACAGGAUAACCGCUGAAAGCAUCUAAGCGGGAAGCCCCUUCCAAGAUGAGAUCUCCCUGGACCCUCGAGGUCCCUGAAGAGCCGUUCAAGACCAGGACGUUGAUAGGUCGGGUGUGUAAGCGCUGCGAGGCGUUGAGCUAACCGAUACUAAUUGCUCGUGCG